rnacentral:rRNA from 1 species
UACGUAGGGCGCAAGCGUAUCCGGAAUUAUUGGGCGUAAAGAGCUCGUAGGCGGUUUGUCGCGUCUGCCGUGAAAGUCCGGGGGCUCAACCUCCGGAUCUGCGGUGGGUACGGGGCAGACUAGAGUGAUGUAGGGGGAGACUGGAAUUCCUGGUGUAGCGGUGAAAUGCGCAGAUAUCAGGAGGAACACCGAUGGCGAAGGCAGGUCUCUGGGCAUUAACUGACGCUGAGGAGCGAAAGCAGUGGGGAGCGAACAGG